rnacentral:lncRNA from 10 species
CUGACGGACAGGGAGGAGACGCCUGCUGAGUGAAGGGGAACCACCGCAGGAGGCAGGGAGGGGUCAGCCAGCAUCCACUCCCUCCACAGCUGAAGGCUGCAGCUCCAGGCGGUGAGGGGCGGCUCCUACCUGCCGGGAGCUGGUUGUUGAUAAAUGUCAACGGCCUCUAAAAAUAAACACCCUCCUCCUGGACUUACGCCUCUCUGGGCCGCUUGUUUAAUUAUUCUUUCCUAAGUGGCUCCCGCAAACAAAUCUGUGGCUAUGAGCAUAGUUUUUCAUACUUAUAUUAUUUUAUUAAAUUUUAUUUUUAAUGUACAAAUAAUAAUUGCAUAUUUUUAAUUGAUUUGGCUCCUUGGGGUCAUUUUGAACAAUUUGCUUUGGCCCUACCUGAAGGACCUGGGAAUGUGCGUGUAACUAGCUUUACACACUUUUGCACCACAAACUUCAGUUUUUGCUGAUCCCCUGCCACCGAGGGAUUGGAGAAAAUCUCAGGAUGCUUGUAGAUUAUUCCAAAACAAACAAUCAAGCUUCUCACCUUGUUUGGUGGAACUUUUUUUUGACAUAUUUGUCCCAGAGAUUGUACAGAAGAAGCUAUUUUGCGUCCCUUUUUUUUUUUUUUUUUUUUUUGAGACGGAGUUCCGCUCUUGUCUCCCAGGCUGGAGUGCAGUGGCACGAUCUCGGCUCACUGCAACCUCUGCCUCCCAGGUUCAAGUGAUUCUCUGGCCUCAGCCUCCCGAGUAGCUGGAAUUAUAGGCACCCACCACCACGCCUGGCUAAUGUUUGUAUUUUUAGUAGAGAUGGGGUUUCACCAUGUUGGCCAGGCUGGUCUUUAACUCCUGACCUCAGGUGAUCCGCCCGCCUCUGCCUCCCAAAGUGCUGGGAUUACAGGCGUGAGCCACCGUACCUGGCCUAAAACUGUUUUGCCUCCUAAGAAAAAGCCAAAUGGAAGAGAAAGAAAAUGCCCCCGACAGCCAAAGAAGCUGAAAUUCUCAGAAGCCUAGAGUCGGCUGCUGGAGGAUAGAGCCAAAACUGCUCCAACUUCUUCCUGGAAGCGCACGUGGGGUCCCCUGAGACGUCCACUGGCCUGCACGUCACCAUGGAAUUGCAGGGUUGGGACAUUUUCAUAGUGAGAAACGCUGAGGAACUCUUGACAUGAAAACUCCAGUGGAAGAUGGAAACUGUGAUGACAGAAAUGGCACUGACCAGCCAGGCCCUGCCUGUGCCCUGCUUGGAACAUUGAUUGACAGAAAUGGCGCUGACCAGCCAGGCCCUGCCCGUGCCCUGCUUGGAACAUUGAUUGACAGAAAUGGCGCUGACCAGCCAGGCCCUGCCUGUGCCCUGCUUGGAACAUUGAUCAUGUGUUUGACCUUGACAUCAGCUUUCCGACACAAACACAGACUUGGGCACACACAAACACGCCCAGUAAAAAUAGUCUGAAUUAAGCCUUCCAGAUGCGUACUCCCUUCUUUCCUGAGGCAGAUGAAGUAGAGAAGAAUGAAGGCAAUUAACAAAUCUGGACGAAUCCACCCCAGAAGCAGCUCCUGCUGCACCCACCUCAGCAAAGAAUCCAGAGGCGACCCCUCCUCUCCAUCUGCUCCUCCUCCAGGCCACUGUCCUCUCUAACCCUUCUCACUGGCCCCUGCCUCCACUCUUGUCAGACAGCAAGCUACAGAAUAACUGGGGAAAUACUUUUUAAAAAAAUAAAUCAGACCACAUCAGGCUCUUCAGCAUGGAAAUGUGGCCGCAGCCCAUGGGCCAGCCCACCAGUGCCGAUCAUCCCCAUCAC